UAAUACGUAGGGUGCAAGCGUUAAUCGGAAUUACUGGGCGUAAAGCGUGCGCAGGCGGUUUUGUAAGUCUGUCGUGAAAUCCCCGGGCUCAACCUGGGAAUGGCGAUGGAGACUGCAAGGCUAGAGUUUGGCAGAGGGGGGUAGAAUUCCACGUGUAGCAGUGAAAUGCGUAGAUAUGUGGAGGAACACCGAUGGCGAAGGCAGCCCCCUGGGUCAAAACUGACGCUCAUGCACGAAAGCGUGGGGAGCAAACAGGAUUAGAUACCCUGGUAGUCCACGCCCUAAACGAUGUCUACUAGUUGUCGGGUCUUAAUUGACUUGGUAACGCAGCUAACGCGUGAAGUAGACCGCCUGGGGAGUACGGUCGCAAGAUUA
rnacentral:rRNA from 1 species